AUGAGCACGAUCACAGUACCCGAAGUUUCCAGGCGCGGAACUUAUGUGAAGCCGUGCAACCACCUCAGACAACUCUGCAGAGAUUACAGCUGCUCGUCCUCCUCCAGUGAGCAGAUGUACAACAGGGCCUUCGUCAGAUCAUUUGGCAGUGCCUCGGUAAGGCACGAAAAGAGGCUGACAGUUUUUGUUGUGGGAAUGAGUCAUAUAACUGAGACAUAUGCUUUCAUACAGACAGAAUCUGAGUCUGAAAAUGUCCCUAAAAAAUUACCACACAGACACAUGCACACACACACACACACGCACACGCACACGCACACGCACACACACACCUACACACCUACACACCUACACACCUACACACCUACACACACACACACACACACACACACACACACACACACACACACACACACAAAACAUUUAGUCCAGGAAACAUUGCUGUGAUGAAUGAUUUUGACAUUUUCCAUAUCAAUGUUUCUAUGCUUGUGUCCAUUAACUCUAAUGUUCUUAUAUUGUUGCCUGUAAUCAUGUCCCAAAUAACUGUAAUUAAGCUGAAUGUCAGCAGAAUGCUAAAUGCCGGGGCUGUGAAAUAACAAAGUGCCAUUUGAACAUGUUGGCUGGAGUUCAGCUAAUGUCUGAGAGACGGAGCCGCAUCCUGUUGUGUCUGCGGAAAGGGAGUGUGUGUGUGUGUGUGUCAGCCCACUGCUACAGAGAGUGAUUGUGUUUCCCAGCGAGCGCCUGUGUUUUCUGUUCUCUCAGGGUGUGUAGAGGAAGGAAGUGAAGGAGGAACGGCGAGAGGAGGAGAGGAGUGACAGGAGGCCCCGGCUCCGUCACCGCCACCGGCACCGCCACCCCUGCCUGGCUCUGUUCCAGGCUCCUCAUGCCUCAGCGCAGCAGCACGGCAGCCGCAGCAGCACCCGCCCAGAUCCUGCUCCCCACUACACCACCGCAGCCCAGACGCCCCACCUGUGGCUGAGCGCAGACAUUGGUAAUCAUUUCUGUUAAAAGCAAAUUCAGGAGGCCGAUGGGAGCCUGCCGAGAGAUACAGAGAGAGAGAGUGAGAGAUAUAGGCGUACUAUCCACCUCCCCUGCCCCCUCCCACACCCACACACACCCACACCCACACCCACACCCACACAACCUCCUCCUACAAGGCUAAUGCAUCCACAGACAGCCCCACUAAUCACACCCUCUCACCGCCUCCACCAUGGCAAAUGGCUUGUUUAGAGGCUCGUGCUAGAUGGACCAUUGCUUUUAACGUUCCUAGAGCAUU
rnacentral:lncRNA from 1 species